AAAAAAGAAAAAAGAAGAAGCUUCCAAGUUCAAUCCGUGGUGUCCAUUCUCAAAUGCGAGUAGAGUAUCUACUUGUGUUGGCACUGGCAGCCAUUUUCCUUGUUCUAACACAAAAAAUUUUCCACCUCAGCCCUAGUCUGAAUUCUGAAAUUCCAUUCCCGCUCCCUACUCUAUUCAUACCCAAAACCAAUCUCCCGCCAUUUGCAAUUCUCCAAGCCCUUCAACCGUCUCCUCCUCCAAUUUCCAUUUCCAUUUACCUUAAAACCCAAUUCCUUCUCUGUUUUUUCCUUUCUCUUCUCCAAAUUCCUUGCCAAUCUAGGACUUUUAAUUACCUCGAAUACCUUUUAAUUGUUUGUUUAUUUUCUUUCCUGGAUUCUGUUUCGCCUUUAGAUGAAGCUUCUCGAAUCUAGGGUUUCAAUUUGAUUUCUCUUCACAAUGAGUGCUGUCAAUAUCACUAACGUUACUGUACUGGAUAAUCCGGCGCCGUUUUUGUCCCCUUUUCAGUUCGAGAUCUCUUACGAGUGCUUGACUCCUCUCAAAGAUGAUUUGGAAUGGAAACUAAUCUAUGUGGGGUCAGCUGAGGAUGAGACUUAUGAUCAACUUUUGGAGAGUGUUCUUGUUGGGCCCAUCAAUGUUGGAAACUAUCGAUUUGUUUUGCAGGCAACUGUUUGCUAAAUCCUUGUAUUAAUUCUUUUGUUGGACUCUUGUUUAUGUUGUGUUUUCAAAGAAUGCUGAUUUAUUCUUCUGUUUGAAUGCCUUCCAGGCAGACCCACCUGAUCCAUUGAAGAUUCGCGAAGAAGAUAUCAUUGGC
rnacentral:misc_RNA from 1 species